UACGUAGGUGGCAAGCGUUGUCCGGAUUUACUGGGCGUAAAGAGCGCGCAGGCGGUCGAUCAAGUCGCGUGUGAAAAGCCCCCGGCUCAACUGGGGAGGGUCACGCGAUACUGAUCGACUCGAAGGCAGGAGAGGGUAGUGGAAUUCCCGGUGUAGUGGUGAAAAUGCGUAGAUAUCGGGAGGAACACCGAGUGGCAGAGGGC
rnacentral:rRNA from 1 species